CAUCGCCCUCCGUGGACACGCCCUCUAGGCGUAACGUGCCCUGCGAGGAGUGAGAGUGCGGCCGGCCCUGGAAAUCAGCGAAUCUGUGCUCUGUGAGAGCUCCUGCGAGAGGAAACUGGGAGCCAGGGAGAACUAAAAUUCCCAUUUCAAAGGAAAUUGUUUAUUGAGCAGCAGAGCGGGAAUGAGAGGCCAUGUUUGUCGUUUUUGACACUCCCCCUUCUUUCUGGACCAUCCAUCGCCUACUUCGGAGGAGCAAACGGAAUGCAUGGUGGUAUUUCUAAGGGCACAAGCAGGAAAUUUAUUGAAAACUUGGAGCAGAAAUCUUUAAUGUACUUCUGACCACGCUUCCUUGUGUUGAGUAGGAUCCAAUGGCUGCUUUAAUGAACUAGUUUUAAUGAAACUAGUUAUUAAACUUGCUUGAGAUGGCUAGUCAGACGUCGGAAAUAAAAGAAAAAGUCAGUAGCUAGACUUUGACAAUUUUUUUUUUAAAGGUAAAAAAACGUGAACCCUUGUCUGCCUUAAGGUCAAGGUAGCACUUAUGUUCUUUGACAAAACCAAGGAAUACGAAAAUCUUUUAUUAAAACAACGGAUAAAACUUAAAAAUAAUCUGGUACAAUGAUUCGGUCUUGCUGGAAUCAGUAAAUUAAAAUACUAAUGCAGAAUGAUAAAAUCAAGAGCAUUAAACAUUCCUAAUGACAUGCCAAGCUAUUUUAGAGACUGCGGCAAAAGCUUCUGUACAAGUGGGUUUGAUGUAACGCUCUGGUAGCAAGAAUCCGUAUCUGCCCUUAUCUCGAAGUUCAAUUGUAAACGAAUAUUUGAUGCCCAAAUCAUAGAGCCAAUCAUCCGCACCUCCAGGAGCUAGGUCUGAAAGAAGAAAGAAGUUACUUUUUGAAAUAUAGGGGUUUCAAAUUAAUUAAUAAACUGAGAAUUGUUUGAUUUAAAUGUUUGUUUGGAUACCUUUACAUUUUUUUCAGUUUUCAGCUAAUAUAAACAACUUUGCAGUGA